CGUCUAUAGACUAGAACACCGUGAAUUCAAAGCGCGCCGCCAUAUUGGUGAGCGCUGGUCGCGCCAUCUAUCUCAAGUGCCGCGAAGUAGCAGGCCUGGGCUGCCACACCGGGAGAUGCGACCCAGCGCAAAAGCGAAACUUCGGCAUUUCAGCUGGACGGAAGGCGUGUAUCGCGUUUUUUCUAACCUGUCAUUUGCGCUGUCUCGAUUCAAUCAAACUUCAAGACCUCAUGCAAGUCCUCAAUGGCCACGCUGAGUGCUGUGCAGACUGCAGAAGCGAAUACAUCGGGUAAGUACGCUAUUACAUUUGUACAAACCGCGCGCUAUAUACUAGAACACGUGUGAGCUGUAAUAUCUCCGUAUUUUUGGCACGUAACCUGUGAAGGAAUAUACAGCACUAUGUUGGUGCCAUAUAUUAUUAAAGCACGCAGAACAUUGUCCUCUGCACUUUCAG
rnacentral:lncRNA from 1 species